GCAAGCUUCCAGACUGACUUGUCCCUGCUACCAGCCGGCACAGAGUGACACACCUAAACGACAGCACAAGAGCUACGGGACUGCUGUUGCUGCCAAGGGAAGGAGGUGCUGGCCUUACGAGCAUGCAUAUCUGAAGCAACAACUCUGCCGUGGACGGUCCCAAGCCCGGCUGUGAAAGGAGGAGGGUUUGGAUGUAAGGCUAGCAACCCCAUCCUGUAAAAACCCAGUGCUACAGAAAGGCCAACAGAAGCUCUAGAUGACCUCAUUCAUCCCUGGAGAGGAAGGAUCUUCGAAGAUGAGCUGCAGCUGGGAUAACAUGAAAGACUGGCCCAGGACAGAGGACUCUGGGGAGUUGCUAUCAAUGGUCUAAGCCCCAGUAGGGGUGAUGGGGCUAAAGCAAUUCACCAGCUUCAGUCCCUGGAGGUCACAUGUUUGGAAGUGAAAAGUCAAGCAGAAUGGCCAUUGCGUGAGAGGGCACAGGUAGACUGGAAAGCUUGAGGCUUUGGUGAGAAGAGAUGGAAACUCAGGUACUGUGGUGGUGGGAUAGUCCUACACAAGAGAGGAGAGAGAAGAGUGGAGUAGAUUUAGAUCUCGAGUAGCUGAAUCACUUUUCUUCAGAAUGGAGAGACAUAAGCACAAAGAAUCUGUUCAGAAGCAGUGUAUCAUACACCGGAAAACAUCAAAAGAAGAUGAUGACCAUUUAGUUAGUCCUUGAGACUAUGAAUCCUGGAAAACAUUACUUGAAUCAGCCAAAGUGAGAAACUAUGCCCCUAUUUUAGAUGUUGCUAAAGAACUUGGAGAAAGAGAAGUCCCAAGAAUCUACUGUCACCAAAGAUGCAGAAGCCUCUUCACCAUGAAGAGAGACUGAGAAACUCUGAAAAGGAAAGCCAAGGAGAGCAUUACUGAUGAAGCUGGUGAGAAUACCUGUACAUCAGAAAGGCCAAGUAGGAGAUCUUCAUCCGAAGCAGGGGUGUAUAAUCAAAUCUGCUUUUUUUGUAAUAAGGUGAAAUUUCUGAAAGGCUCCAUGCCAUGUAAAAAGCUUUUGGGGGCUGGGGUAACAUUUUCUGCUGUACUGAUGUUAAUAUGGAGUAUAUACAAAAAGUGAUUACUUAUUUGAAUUCCUGAAUACAUUCUCUACAAAUCCAUGUGAUUAUAUGUGUCCAAGGGUUUUUUAUUGACUUU